rnacentral:rRNA from 1 species
CAGUAGCCACGGGAAUACGGAGGGUGCAAGCGUUAAUCGGAAUUACUGGGCGUAAAGCGUGCGUAGGCGGUUCGUUAAGUCUGUUGUGAAAGCCCCGGGCUCAACCUGGGAAUGGCAAUGGAUACUGGCGAGCUAGAGUGUGUCAGAGGAUGGUGGAAUUCCCGGUGUAGCGGUGAAAUGCGUAGAGAUCGGGAGGAACAUCAGUGGCGAAGGCGGCCAUCUGGGACAACACUGACGCUGAGGCACGAAAGCGUGGGGAGCAAACAGGAUUAGAUACCCGUGUAGUCCCUGUCUCUUAUAC